GAAUACCGGUGGCGAAGGCGGCCCCCUGGACAGAUACUGACACUCAGAUGCGAAAGCGUGGGGAGCAAACAGGAUUAGAUACCCUGGUAGUCCACGCCGUAAACGAUGUCUACUUGGAGGUUGUGCCCUAGAGGUGUGGCUUUCGGAGCUAACGCGUUAAGUAGACCGCCUGGGGAGUACGGUCGCAAGAUUAAAACUCAAAUGAAUUGACGGGGGCCCGCACAAGCGGUGGAGCAUGUGGUUUAAUUCGAUGCAACGCGAAGAACCUUACCUACUCUUGACAUCCAGAGAAUCUAGCGGAGACGCUGGAGUGCCUUCGGGAGCUCUGAGACAGGUGCUGCAUGGCUGUCGUCAGCUCG
rnacentral:rRNA from 1 species